rnacentral:snoRNA from 1 species
UAUUAUGAUGAAAAUUCCUUCCUACAUUCGCAGUUUCCACGCUAGCCGUCGCCAUGAACCCAUCAUAGACGUGCUCUGUGCGCAUUAUCUUCCUUGGAUGUCUGAUU